UUCCUUUUGUAGUUCAUAGGCGUGAUUAUUGGGUUCUCCUGUGGUUGCGUGUGUUGUGCCACCCAUAAGCCUUGUUAUAGCAUUGGCACAUUAUGUCUAACA
ensembl:snoRNA